GCACCCGUAGUUCAAUGGAUAGAAUUUCGGUUUCCGGUACCGACGAUAUGAGUUCGAAUCUCGUCGGGUGCACCA
rnacentral:tRNA from 1 species